UUUUAUAAAGUGCAUACAGAGUCUCUCAUGAAGUGCAUUUAGAGUCUUUCAUAAAGUGCUGUAAUUCACAGGGUCAACGUGUUCCAAGGAAGGAGCUGUUUUUUGUCCAGAGUUCUUCUUCUCCUUAGUUCAGUGAGCACUUGUUUGCACACGUCAUCACUAUUUAUAACCAUCUGUUGAAUAACCAUACAGCAUCUUGUUUUCCACAAUUUGAAGCAUACAAUACAUAUGAUUAUUCGUAACAGUUCCUUGUGUUUCUCUGGUAGAGUCUCAUCAAUAAUACAGUACAUAACAGAUUUAUAUGAAAGAUCAAAUUUUACACCAUACACUUUUAACUUGUCCCAGACUUCUGUUGCUCUGUAGCAGUCUAUUAAGAGGUGCCGUUGUGUCUCAUCUUCGUUGCAGUAAAUCUUUGGACAUUUUUUUGUUUUUACAUAGCAACUCCAAGACACAACAGCUCUGACAGCAAAUCUGUUUACGGACAUCAGCCAUCUCACGUCAAGAAUGCUCUCAGAAAGGUUUUUAUUUUUUUUAUAAAUUUCAGGAACUGGGUUCCUUCGUUGUGUGUUAGGUGUUUAUAAUUUAUAUACCCACCAUAUUUAUAAUCAUUAAUU